rnacentral:lncRNA from 1 species
GACUUGCUCGGCUUGCUGCUGCAGUCGAACAUGGAUAGCGGGAAAGGCAGCCUGAGAAUGAGCACCGAGGACGUGAUUGAGGAGUGCAAGCUCUUCUACUUCGCAGGGAUGGAAACCACGUCGGUGUUGCUCACGUGGACGCUCGUCAUUCUAGGCAUGCACCCUGAGUGGCAGGACCGCGCGAGGGAGGAGGUCCUCAGCGUGUUCGGUAGGGACAAGCAGCCCAAUUUUGAUGGACUAGGUCGACUCAAAACGGCAAGUGUUUCUUUAUUACAAUACCAUGUAUACAUGUUUGCUCCAAGCCUAUAUUACCUGCUAACAUUGUCUAUACCUAAAUGAUAUCCAGGUGACGAUGAUACUAUAUGAGGUGCUCAGGUUGUACCCACCGGCAGUGACCCUAAACCGAAGAACAUUCAAAGACAUGCAGAUUGGAGGCAUCACAUACCCUGCAGGGGUAAUCCUUGAGCUUCCCAUAAUCGCCGUCCACCACAAUCCUCACAUCUGGGGGAAGGACGCACAUGAGUUCAAGCCAGAGAGGUUCGCUGAGGGGAUCUCAAAGGCGACCAAGGACCAACCUGCGUUCUUCCCGUUCGGAUGGGGGCCGCGGAUCUGCAUUGGGCAGAACUUUGCGUUGCUUGAGGCCAAGAUAGCCUUGAGCAUGAUCCUCCAACGCUUUGAAUUCCAACUGUCGCCUUCAUACACGCAUGCACCCUACACGGUCAUUACGCUGCAUCCUCAGCAUGGUGCGCCAAUUAUAUUCAAGAAGAUCUGAUCGUCUUAUAUGACAUUGUCGAUCGUUACCAAUAAGUAUGUCACAGUGAAAAAAUAAUAGUUUUGUAUGAGUACAGUAAUAUUAGAGAGUUUAAUUUUGUGUAUCUGAAUUUUGAGGUGGAACUAAACGGCAGGAGAUAUAUUGCUUGUUGUAAACCUCCAGGUCAAGAUACAGUCCAACCAAUAUGUGCACAUGCUCUAAUAAAAAUCACUAUGUGCAUAUAAGGUAAACAGUAGUAAACGUAGGAUUGAAACUAGCUUAGCUGUCCUUUUCUAAUGUUUCAAUCAGCUUGUUCAUCAAAUUCUUUCAGCGUUCAAAUUCAUAUCAACGUUGAAAAGUGCGAAGGUUGUAAUAAAAAGCCCGCUAAGAGUGCGAAGGUUGUAACAGGAGUCCUGAUAAAAACCUCUGAUCUUUAUUCAUGAUGUCAGUACGUGCAUCAAUUAUUUACAUCAAAAAAGGAAAAACAAAAACUUAACCCAGCAUCCUUCGUCGCCAGAAUGCCGGAGGUUCUAAGAGUCUCGUACAAUUCUUAAGUAUGAAUCUGGUACAAACCUAAAUUCAUCACAGUAAUCACGAGCAAGAAACUCGACCAAGCCAUCAACACUACGCGUAGGACACAUAUGACGCCACCAAUCAAUCAGCCAGCCCCUCGCAUACAAAUCCCCGCGUUUGAAUGUCACCGGGGUAACAUAGCUUCCUUCGACAAAGUUCGAAGGAAGGACAUCAUGCCUGGGAGGAGGUCUAACAACCUGCACCAAAAAGAUAAACCAAUUUUUCACCUCAACCAAACGAAGGAUACGACUAAAACGUAAGAUGAGGUUUUCGAACCUCCCGACGCCCAGGAAGGAAACACUCUGCCAGAACUUCGGGAUCCUCCGGCAACUAGCAUAUACCGUCAUCCUCACCAAAAAUACGAAGGAUCGGGUACGAUGAUUGCAGAAAUGUAUCAAACUAAAUCAGAGCAGGAAAUACACACAACCUAAGACAAAAAAUAGAGAAGCAAAUAACUACCUAAGCCGGAGGUCAAGACCCUCGGUACGCAAGCGACCGGAGGAAAUCAGAUCGCUCAUCAUCAAUAUCAAACUCCACAAAGUUGAACAUAUCAACUACACUAAGGUUAGGAAAGGCAGUUCGCCAAUAUUCCCACAAGUCUCCCAAUACAUAAAUCCCGUUAAAAAAGAUGGAAAGCGGAGCUUCGCAAAGAUCCUGCGCAGGUCCUCUGCUAGAGACCUGCGCACGACAAAACGUAAAAUAAAAAACUCAUUCAAAACAACGCAAGUAUAUUACAUAAUCAACAUUUCAUUACAAACUCAUUCAACCUUCGCCCCUUUUUUACAAAAAGCGUCACACAGAAGCUGACGCAAAAAACUAAAAAACACCUACAAACUAAAAACCCUCACACCUGAGGCGGAGGAGGCGCAGGAGCUUCGGGUCCCUCCAAAACCUUGGCAUCGGACCCCUCUGGAGCCUUGGCGCCAGCUUCAGGAACCUCCGCAUCAGCCUGGGUCGAAGGACGUGCUUCGCUAGGAGGACGCGAGGGGCCGGCCUUGUCAACCUUAGCUUUCUUCUUGGCAACCUCCUGUGAAACCAUAAACUUGAGAGACAGAGAAAAGUAGCAACACAAUACGCAAAGGAUAACAAAAAAUAUAUGUACCUCAGCGCGGCGAGCCUCCGCCAUCUUCUUCGCCUCAGCCCGCCCAAACCUAAUUCAAAAAGAACUUAUAAAGUCCCGGACAGAUUUGCGCAGGCUAGAGGUGCCUUCGCCAACAUCCUCCGCCGAGGCGAACUCUUCCUUUGUAACCGCCUCGGCGUGAGAGCAACCUCCACGACGCAAAAGCCUAGCGAAGGAGCUAACCGCAGCCAAAGCCCCAAAAUCAACUGCUCCUCCGACAAAGUCAGAGAGCAUGCUGAUAUGAGACUUGAGCCAUGCAAGGCUAGCCCCAACAUCACCAUUGGGAGGAGGAGCGGAGGUGCUACCUCCGAACUGCGCCAGCGAGCCGGAGUAGAGACCGAUGACAGCCGCAGCCUCCGCCUCCGCCUUCUGCAUGCGGGUCUGCACUGCAGCUGCAGACGUUCGCUCAGCGUCAAGCUCCUUGCGGAGGCGGUCAGCAAUGUCCUUGGCCUUCUUGGCCCGCUGCACGGCCAAGUCUUUAGCUUUCUCCGCCUCAGUAGCGCUCGCGCGAAGGACAACUACCGAAGCUUCAGCAUCCUCUUUCUCCUUCUUGAAAGCCUCCGACCAGGCCUUCAGCUGAUCCCUCUCCACCCUCAGCUCCUCAACCUCCUGUCGGAUCGAAGAAAAGCCCUGAACUUCCUCCGACAGGCGGGCCUUCUCAGCUUCCAAGGUUUCAUUUUCCUUCUUCAAAGCCUCAAUGGCCUCAUCGCGGUAGAUAACCUCUCGGGAGCAUCGCUCCUCCAAGGCAGCAGCCAUAUGGUGACCCUGUUCAAAGCAACACAAAUCAAACCUCCGAAUGGAAAUUCACAAAGGAAAAAGAAGAAAGGUCAAAACUUACAAGGCUAUGGUGCUCAAACUGCACGCGAAGAAAGGUAUCAAAGUCCAUAUGGCGAAGCUUCCGACGAAAACGAUCUGUAGAACAAAAGAGGUAAGGAAAAACAUAAGACAAAAUAAAUGUUAUCGACAGCGGAGGCCAGAAACGAACCUCCGACCAAAGAAUGAACCUCACGGAGUGCGUCGGUCCAACCUGUGAUCAAAGGAUCAGAAGCACCUGCGCAAAACCAAAAGCAACCUUAGCACCAACCACAAAUAACCAAUUCACUAAAAUAAACAAAAACGAAAAAAUGUUUACAACUUACCGGGACCAAGAAUAUUAGCGGGCGAAGGCCUGCUAGCCAACGCAGAGGGCGCAAGAUCGCGAGGCGGAGGAACAGCAAGGCCUUCCUGCGCGAUGCUGGCACCUUUAGCCAGUUCCUCCGCGCUAGCCAGCCCCACAAUAACAUCCUCUGAAAAAUAUACAAAAAGUAUAAGACCAAGACAAUCAAAGCAUGUAGAAAUAUCAGAACCAACCAAACAAAAAAAUUACCCAUAUACAGCGAAUUUAUCCCAUCUCCAUCUGGCCGUGGGGGAUCCUCCACCUUCCUUAUCCUCCGAACAGAAGCAGAUUCAGCUUCGUCACUGGACUCCUCCUGCCCCUCCUUCGGCGGAGAUUCUCCUCCAGCAGAAGCUUCCCGCGCAGAACUCGCACGAGGGGCCUCCGCGUCAGAGGAAUCCUCACCAAGAAGCGAGGCGAAGGGCACACGGACAGACGAAACCGCGCGGGAGACCUCAACUUGAAGACCUCCAGUCACAGGAGCAGCCUUCAGGACCUCCGCCGGCUGAGACUCCACCGAAUUCGACUCGGCAGCGGAGGAGCGGGCGGAGGAUGACCCCACAGGAGUGUCCAGCACAACCUCCGCCUUGCGCUUCUUCGCAAGCGUCUUAGCAACACCACCUCCCUUCCUCUUCUUUGACUCGGCAGCAGCAACAGCCUUGGAGGAAUCCUUCUUCUUCUCCAAACCGAGCGGCACAUCCGAAGGAACGACGUACUCAUUGUACUCGAUCCCCAGCUCUUCAAAAAUGCGAUUAAAACGCGGCAUCGUCCCCAACGUAGAUUUCCUCUGGAGAUACUCCUUCUCCGAAAUUUUUCCAACGAUCCUUCGGGCAGAAACCUCCACGCGGUUGAGGAAUGACUCCUUCGUCUCACCCUCCGGCAAAGCCGCGCGGAAGCGGGGAAAUGGUAACCCCUCCGGAGGGCCAAACACUGGCACUUGUACCAUUUCAAUGGUAAACUCAUCGGUCCGGCGGCUAAGGGGCCAGUAAUCAGCAGCGACCAUCUCUUCAACCAAAUCACGACCUCCAGAGAAGCGGCAGGCCAGUGCGAAGGCCUGGUCGCAGGCCCUGCGUUCCUCCGACAUCGGCAUCGAAGGAUCAAACUUGUAGACAGGCUUGAGCUCCUUCAUUUUUGAUGCGUACGGAUAAACCUUGUCAACCCAACCAUCAUCCAAAGUCUUCGACGUAGCAGGAGUCCUCACAUAAAACCAAGCCCUCAUCCAAUCCUUCUCCCACUUUCCCUUUUGGCAAAAGGAAAUCUCACACCGCGCUCUAGGCAUCGUGCGGCGCGGCAUGAACGCGCAGCUUCCAAACUAUGCGAUGCAUUCCUCUCCUUCGGCAUUCUUAACCUUCUUAGGCUACCGUUGGAGGUCAAAAUAGGAACAGAAAGUGUCAAUGUGUGGCACCGCGCCGUAGGAUUCACACGCCCACGCAAACUUGCUGAGGGUAAGAAUCCCAUUCGGGCUGAAGUGCUGCAACUCCACAUUGAAAGCCUCCAUCACGUGGCGGAGGAAAUGGUACGGAGGCAUCCGGAGUCCGCAGGUGAAAAAAUCUCUGAAAACCACGGCGUACUCCUCCUCAGGCGCAGGCACCGUCUGGCCCGCAGGAGGAGCCUUCGCAUGGCCAUCCUUGAAGAAACCAACUUCAACCAUAUCCGCAAUAUCCUCCGGCCUUACAGUUGACUCCCCAAACUCAAAAGUGAUCGCAGCCAUCGCCUCGAACUCCUUCGCACUAAUCAAGUCCCCAACAGAAGCCUCAACGUCGGACAGAGUUUCCUCCAGAUCUUGAGCAGCAGCCACCUCAAGCAUCCAAUCUUCGAACCUCCGCAGCCAACCUCCUGACCUCACGCGCAGAAAAUCCCGCAGAGGACUAGAAAAAUCAGCCCUCAAAGGACGAGGCGAAGGAAGGAAAGCCACCUUAGAACCUCCGCAAUCACUUAGAACUAAACCAAACAAAACCCAACUACAGCACACGCAGGCAACCAAGAGGCUAAGCAAUAAACUAGCGAAGGAAGCUGGGCAGGCAAUGAACGGCAAGGGGUGAGGACUCACGUCUCCCCCGCACCCCCUUUUAUAGGGGGGCCUGCGGACGGGCGACCGUUGCGAUUCCCAGCGUACAACGGCUAUAAGCGGAGGACUCGGACUGACCGUUACGAUUCCCCACCCCCAACGGCUACCAACGAAAAAUUAGCGAAGACCAACGGCUAGCUGCGCGUAUAUCGCCAUCCGUUUAACGGAUAUCAACUAUCCGUACAGUUGGUGCAGUAGCUUGGGGGGCCGCGUACAGCCGCGCAGAGCCAGAGUGACGGAGUUACCAUGUGCCGUAAAAUAAUACUAAACUAUCCUUAAUUACUUUUUAGAAUCUAAAUAAAAUAAUUUUCAAAGGGGGAACCACUGGUUCCUCCCAAAGCAGUGUAACAAAGCUCUAAUAGAAACAUCUGAUCUUUACUUUGGUAGACUCUAAUCAUUAUUUCUAUAAUAAUUAUUUGAUCUAUUGGAAUUUAUAAAAAUAAUUGCCAAUCUUUGCCAUUAUGAAAAAUACUUAAAGUAACCCCCAAUUGUGCAUAUAAAUUAUCAACCUCUGCCGUUACGAAAGAUAAUUCAAAAUAACUCCUUACUUAUUAUUAUGAAAAAUAAUUUAACAUAACCCCCUAAAUUUGUAUCUAAAUUACCCAUUUUUUCAUUAUAAAACGUAAUUCAUUGUAACCCCCUCACAUUACACCUAAAUUACCCAACUCUCUUAAAUAUAUAUAUCUAAAUACUAAUAUAUGCUAUUAGAAAAAUCUAUAUUCAUAAAGUAUGAGACAUAUAUAUAUAUAUAUAUAUAUAUAUAUAUAUAUAUAUAUAUAAACUACAAACUUUUAGAAAUAUGAAAUUAAGUAAUGAAAAUGCUAUGUUUGACCAUGUAAAUGCAAGAGAUAUGUAUUCCUUAUUACAAACUUCAUGCAUGUACUCCCUUUGAAUUAACAAACCAUAACACCGACAAUUCCAUAUAGUAAAUGUUUAAUUAACAAACCAUAUAGCAAUAACAUAACACCGACAAUUCCCUUUGAAUUAUAUCUGUUGGGGAGAGGCUCUCCGCACUCCCCAGCAGUACGGUGAAUCGUGAACCUUCUCACUCGGUGCCGUGAGAGGUUUGAGCUCCAACGGACAGUAGGCUCGACAGUAGGUGAAAAUAGUGAAUGCUCUCUCCCUCUUUUAUUAAUGUCGGCGUGCUCCUUUUAUAGGGCUCGGAAACCGACCUAAGACAGUUACAGAUAUGCCCCGUGACGGUGGGGGAAUAUUCCAGCAUAUUCGUACAUCACAGUCUGCUGAUCCUAAGUUACUUGCGUAAUUUCACACUACAGGCUCUCCACGCGCUCCUCGUUCGGGGCUUCAGACUGUCGAACGCUCGUAUCCUUCGCCCGGCAGUCGAUCCUUCGACUCUUCCGCGUCGAAGGUUCCCUGAGCCGGCUGAGUCGGAGGUUGCUCGGGUUGGCCACCUCGGAGGCCGCUCGGCUCAGAUGCGCCGGAGGUUUAUCUCCUCCGCCGCAUCUCCCAAACAUCCUUCGCCAUAGGAAAGCUCGAAGGUUCCCCCCUUCUUCGCCCGCAGAUCUCCGCCGGUGCUCCAGUCCCUGCAUAUGCUCAACAUAGCGAGAGUCAUGUCAACGUUAGCCUUUCUCAGGGUCCUCCGCAUGCAUCUGCACGGAGGUUUCCUGGGUGGAGGAUAGCCUUAGACGCUACCAGGUCGGAGGUUACUCGGGUGAAGGAUAACCUCAGACGCUACCAGGGGGAAGGAUGCGGCCAUUUCCCAACAGUUCCCCCCUUUUUGGGCUAAUGGCACUCUUGCGGUCCAUGUGCUCAAAAACAUGCCACGUUGCGGAGGCUGCGAGCAUGGUUGCUGCCUUCCCCCCUGGUGCGCAGGAUGUGUUUGUUAGCGUCUUCGAAAAAAUAUUUCUUUUACCUAGCCAUUUGUUUUGACAGGAUCCUUCGAUCAUUGUUGUUUCUGAUAGGCUGUUAUCCUUCGCGCGUUAGAGUGCGAAGGGUAUUAUAGCCGUUGGAGUUAGCCGUUUGGGCUGGUGAAUCGCAACGGUCAGGCCGAGUCCUCCGCUUUUAGCCGUUGGGCGCGGGGAAUCGCAACGGCCGCGCGGUCGCAGGCCCCCCCCUAUAAAAAGGGAUGCUGGGGGGGCUCUGAGCUCUCACCCCUGCCGCUCAUUUCCUGCACAUUUUCCUUCGCCACAUUUUGCUUUCUGAGUUGCUCGCACCGCUCGCGUGUGUUAUUGCUGUGUUUAGUCGGAGGGUCUACGGUGGCUCAUCUUCCUCCGCCGCGUCCUUCGAGGUCAGAUUUUUCUGGUCCUUUGCGAGAUUUUCUUAGUGUAAGGUCUGGGGGUUGGCUGCGGAGGUUUGAGGAGUGGAUGCUUGAGGUGGCAGCAGCUCAAGACCUGGAGGAGACGUUGUCCGACGUCGAAGCUUCUGUUGGUGAUCUGAUCAGCGCGAAGGAGUUUGAGGAGAUGGCUGCAAUUACCUUUGAGUUUGGGGAGUCGACAGUGAGGACGGAGGAUAUCGCUGACAUGGUUGAAGCGCGGUUUUUCAAGGAUGGCCGCGCGAAGGCUCCUCCUGCGGGUCAGACGGGGCCUGCGCCUGAAGAGGGUUAUGCUGUUGUAUUCAGGGACUUUUUUACCUGCGGACUUCGGAUGCCUCCGUACCAUUUCCUUCGCGAGGUGAUGGAGAGCUUCAACAUUGAGCUACAGCAUUUCAGCCCCAAUGGGAUACUGACCCUUAGCAAGUUUUCAUGGGCAUGUGAAUCCUACGGAGCCAUGCCCCACAUUGACACUUUUUGCUCAUAUUUCGAACUUCAGCGCCAGCCUAAGAAGGUGAGGGAUGCCGAAGGUGUUGAGUGCAUUGCGCAGUUUGGAAGCUGCACGUUCAUGCCGCGCCGCACAAUGCCUGGGCCAAGGUGCGAGAUCUCCUACUGCCAAAAGGGCAAGUGGGAGAAGGAUUGGAUGAGAGCCUGGUUCUACGUGAAGACCCCCGCUGCGUCGAGGACUUUGGAUGAUGGUAGCGUUGAUAAGGUUUACCCUUACGCAUCCUUGAUGAAGGAUUUGAAGCCUGUCUCGAAGGUUGAUCCUUCGAAACCGGUGUCGGAGGAGCAGCUUGGGGCGCGAUUGGCCUGCGACAAGGCCUUUGCGCUGGCUUGCCGAUACUCCGGAGGUCGGGACCUGGUCGAGGAGAUGGUUGCAGCCGACUACUGGCCCCUUGGCCGCAGGACUGACGAGUUCACCAUUGAAAUGGUGCAAGUACCGGUCUUUGGUCCUCCGGAGGGGUUGCCGUUUCCUCGAUUUGGCGCGGGUUUGCCGGAGGAUGAGACGAAGGAAUCUUUUCUUGACCGCGUGGAGGUUUAUGCUCGGAGGAUCGUUGGAAAGAUCUCAGAGAAGGAAUACCUCCAACGGAAGUCCGCACUUGGGACUAUGCCGCGUUUCAAUCGCGUUUUUGAAGAGUUGGGGAUCGAGUAUGAGGAUUAUGCCGUUCCUCCGGAGGUUCUGCUUGGCCUGGAGAAUAAGAAGGAUUCAUCCAAGGCCGUUGCCGCGGCGGAGGCUAAGAAAAGAAAGGGUUGUGGUGCUGUUAAACAACUUGCGAAGAAGCGCAAGGCGGAGGUUGUGCUGGAGACUCCUUUGGAGUCUUCCUCUGCCCGCUCUUCUGCUGCCGAGUCUAACUCGGUGGCUUCUGUUCCUGCGGAGGUUGCUCCUGCUGGUGGAGUUCCUGAGGUUGAAGCCUCACGCGCGGUCUCUUCUGUACGCGCGCCUUUCGGGUCCCUUCUUGGGGAGGAGUCUUCCGACGCGGAGGCCCCUGAGGCGAGUCCUGCGCGGGAGGCAAAUCCUGCGGUGGCUGAGAGUCCUGCGCGGGAGGUUUUGGCUGGAGGAGGAUCUCCGCCGAAGGAUGGGCAAGAGGAAUCCAGUGAUGAGGCAGAGUCUGUCUCUGUUCGGAGGAUAAAGAGGGUGGAGGCUCCUCCGCGUGCGGCUGGAGAUGGUAUAAACUCGUUGUACAUGGGUAAAGAUUUUAUUUUUAUUGAUUCUUGUUUUUCUGCGUUUUUUGCUUGACUUGGUCUCAUUUUUUUUUAUUUUUCAGAGGAUGUUUUUGCUGGGCUGGCUACCGCGGAGGAGUUAGCUAAAGGCGCCAGCGUUGCGCAGGAAGGACUUGCUGUUCCUCCGCGGCGUGAGCCCGCGCCUUCUGCGUUGGCAAGUAGGCCUUCGCCUGCUGAUGUUAUUGGUCCCGGUGGGUUUCUUCUUUUUUGUUCAACUAAUUGGUUUGUUUUUUGGCAUUUUAUUCUAAGGUUUGUUUUUGUUUUGCGCAGGUGCUUUUGAUCCUUCGAUCACAGGUUGGACUGAUGCCUUGCGCGAGGUUCAUUCCUUGGUCGGAGGUUCGUUGUCUGGCCUCCGCCACAGGUUUUUUGUUUCUUACGAUGUUUUUUCUUAAUUGUUUUUGCUUUACAGAUCGUUUUCGUCAGAAGCUCCGCGGCAUGGACUUUGACACGCUCCUUCGCGUGCAAUAUGAGCACCAUAGCCUUGUACGUUUGCGAUGUGUUAUAUUUUCCUUCGCCGUUUUUCGCUCGGAGGUUGGUUGUAAUUCUUAUUUUUUGAGCAGGGUCAUCACAUGGCUGCCGCCUUGGAGGAGCGCUGCUCCCGGGAGGUUAUUUGCCGGGACGAGGCUAUUGGUGCUCUGAAGAAGGAGAACGAGACCUUGGAGGUUGAGAAGGCUCGCCUGACGGAGGAGGUUAAGGAGUUUUCUUCCGUCAGGCGGGAAAUUGAGUCCCUGAGAAAGGAAAGGGAUGACUACAAAGCUGGGUCGGAGGCCUUGAAGAAGGAUAAAGAAGAUGCCGAAGCUUCGGCGGCUGUCCUCCGCACGAGUGUCACUGAGGCGGGGAGAGUUAGGGACUUGGCCCUGCAGCGAGCCGAGAAGGCGGAGGACAUUGCUGAACGCCUUCGCAAAGAGCUUGACGCUGAGCGGACGUCUGCGGCUGAGCUGCAGACUCGCAUACAGAAGGCGGAAGCGGAGGCUGCAGCUAUUGUUGGGCUCUAUGCCGACUCGCUGGCGAAGUUUGGGGGUAGCACCUCUGCUCCUCCGCCCGGCGGCGACGUUGGGGCUGCCCUCGCAUGGCUGAAGUCUCAUAUCUGCAUGCUCCCUGAUUUUGUCGGGGGCGCUGUUGAUUUUGGGGCUUUGGCCGCGGUUAGCUCCUUUGCUAAGCUGCUGCGCCGCGGAGGUUGCUCCCACGCGGAGGAUGUUGCCAAGGAGGAGUUUGCCACGGCGGAGGAUGUUGGCGAGGGCACCUCUAGCCUGCGCAAAUCUGUCCGGAACUUCAUCAGUUCGUUCUGGAUUAGGUUUGGGCGGGCUGAGGCGAAGAAGAUGGCGGAGGCUCGUCGCGCUGAGGUAUUUUUGAUUUGGUUUUUUCUUUUUGUAUUUUGUUUUGCUGCUUUGCAAUGUUAUUUAAGAUGGGUAUUUUGUAGGAGAUUGCGAAGAAGAAGGCUAAGAUUGACAAGGCCGGUCCUUCGCGUCCACCAAGCGAGGCGCAUCCUCCGACCCAGGCUGAAGCGGAGGCUCGUGAUGCUGGUGCCAAAGCUCCAGAGGGGUCUGCUGCCAGGGUUCCAGAGCAGCCCGAGACUUCUGCUCCUCCUCCGCCUCAGGUGUGAGGCUUUUUAGUUUUUAGGUUUUUCUUAGUCUUUUUUGCGUCCAAGCAUGUGACGCUUUUUUGUAAGUAAGGCCGGAGGUUUUGCUUAAUUUGUAAAGACUGUUGAAAAUGUAAUAUAUUGAGUUGUUUUCAGAUAAGCCUUUGUUUUACACUUUGAUCCUGCGCAGGUCUCUGGCGGAGGACCUGCGCAGGAUCAAUACAUUACUCCCCUUUCAAUUUUUUACAAAGGGAUUUAUGUUUCUGGCGAAUUGUGGGAGUACUGGCGAAUUGCCUUCCCUAACAUGAGGGUGGUGGAUAUGUUUGAGUUUGUUGGAUAUGACCUAAAUGACGAACGAUCUGAAUUCGUCCGGUCGCUUGCGCGCCGAGGUUCAUGGCCUCCGGCUUAGGUGGUUGUUUUUGCUUUAUUUUUCGUUUAUCGUAGGUUAUGUGUGUAUUUCUUUGACAAGGUUUGUUGCUUUUACGCAGCCGCCAUAUCCUAUCCUUCGCAUCUUUGGUGAGAAGGAUAGGGUACGCUGGGUGUCGGAUGUUUCCGAGGAUUUGGCUGAGCCUUUUCUCCAUGGAUAUCCGGAGGUUCGAAAGCUUCGUAAUACGUUUUGGUUUUAUCCUUCGUAAUAAGUUUUGGUUUUGAAGUUUCUCUCUUUUUUUGUACAGGUUGUGAGGUCUGGUCCAGAGGAUGUUCUUCCUUCGAACUUUGUCGAAGGAAGCUACGUUACCCCUGUGACGUUCAAGCGUGGAGAUCUGUAUGCGAGGGGUUACCUGAUUGAUUGGUGGCGCCAUAAGUAUCCUACGCGUAGUAUUGAUGACUUAGUUGAUUUUCUUGUUCGUGAUUACUGCGAUGAGCUUAGGCUUAUUCCAGAUUCGUAUGUAAAAAUUGUGCGAGGGUCUUAGAACCUUCGACUCUUGACGGUCGAAGGAUGUUUUUCGUUUUUGGUUGUAAACUUUUGUUGUUUAUAGUUAAUAAAGAUCAGACAUUUUGACCAUUGCUUUGGCCAUGUUCUUCGCACCUUUUAGCUUUAUUUUUAUUUCAACCUUCGCGCUAUAACGUUUAUACAUUGCAACGUCACGGUGGUGUUGAUCCUAAGGAUCUUUGUGUUGCUGUGGCCUGCUUGUGCUUGAUGCUCGAUGUUGCGAAGGUGGUGUUGAUUUUUUCUUGCGCGGAGGAUCGCCGCUUCUUGGCCUUAGAACCUUUGACUUUAUUGGUGCGAAGGAGCCUCCGCUGAAUUGUGCUACUUUUUCCCUUUGCUCGACUCCCGUGGAGUGUUGUCGAGGAGAACCUUCGGGUAUCUGAGUCGGAGGUUCUGAAGGGACGUUACGAGACUUCGUGCGAUACCCUUCAGAGACCUCUGAGUCUGAUUUCCAUUAUUUCUGUUGUGGCUGUACACGACUUUGUAGUCGAUGUUCAUCACAACGCCGCAGUUCUAUUAUUACGAAGCUUCGUGCAAUACAAACUUUUGUUGCUGUUGUGAGGCUAACUCCUGCUUCCAUGGUGGCCUAUGAUUUUUGCUUUUUGACUGCUAGGUUUGCACUCGAUGCUCGGGUCUUUGUAUACUGAUCCUGAUUGAGGGUGGGGGCAAGGUGAGCCUGGUUUUAUAGGCUUUCAUGCAUUUAUUUUAUGUACUCUGUUAGGUUAAAAUUUAUUAUCGGGUUAUUGAUGGUUGUUGUGGUAGUUGGUUUUGCUGUACCUGACUGAGAGUUAUUGUAGUUUUGUUUUAUUUUCACACUUUGUUUGUUGGGGGUCUGCUUAGAGUAGCAGGAUACCUUCGACCUUAUUUAGGUGAAGGUUAUGUGAGUUUUGUUGAGGUCUGUCUUGUGAAUGUUAAACCUCCGCUGCCUUUUGGCAAAAAUAAUAUAGUUCCUGAUGCCUGAUUGUCCUCAGGUCUUUGUCAGGUCUGAAGGUUUUGUUCCUUCUGGCCAUGUUGUGAUGCCUGAGGAGGACAGGACUUUUUCACUUUUUGGCCAUGCUAUCCUUGCUGCCCGGCUCUUGGCUAGGUCUUUUGCUAAGGAUUUGGUGUUUUUUCACCUUUGAGGACGUUCCGAGCUUUCUUAGCUUUUGGAUGAAUGCUGCGGAGGGUCCUUGUGAUCACGUGAUGAUUUGUCGAAUGCUACAGCCUCGUUGAUGGCUGUUUUUCGACUUUUGGGCUUUGGUUCUGGGGUGGAUUCCUCUUUAUAUCUCAGAGGUUUUUACAUAGGUUCUGCCUCGUUAAAAACCUCACCUCCUGGUAGGAGUACCCCUGUGAGGAAAAGAGUGCAGACCUUGGAAUGCGAAAAAGUAGAGAAAAAGAAAACAAGCGUAUUUAGGGAUGUGGAUGCCGUCGCUUAUUUUGCGGGGUCAUCCUUACACUCAAAUGUAAAAUCUACGUAGAUUGUCGACGUUCCACGUGUGGGUGGAGGUUCUACCUUCGAGGUCUUUCAGGUAGAAGGAUCCUGACCUUCCCGCUUGUAUUGCUGUAUAAGGUCCUUCCCACUUGGGUUGCAUUUUACCAGCGUUUGGGUGAUCUCCCUUUUUCCUGAGUACCAGGUCCCCAUCUUGUAUGUCUUUCCGUACUACCUUGCGGUCUCUCCAUUUCUUGGUUUCUUGUUGAUACAUGGUAAUGUUCUCCACCGCCUCAAGUCUUAUUGAUUCUAAGGUUUCCUUGCAGUAGUCUUCAUCUUCAGCCAACUGCUGCUUCAUGGAACGCAGGCUUUGGUGUUUGAUUUCUUCGGGCAACAUUGCCUCUUCCCCAUACAAGAGCUUGAAUGGAGUAAACCCAGUUGUUCUUGAAACUGUUGUGUUAUGUGACCACACAACUCUGGGUAGCUCGUCAACCCAUUUCCCCUUUCGCAGGUUGAGUAAGGUCUUGGAGAUUGCAGAGAAUAUUAUUCUGUUUGCUCUCUCCACGGCCCCAUUUGACUCUGGGUGGUAGACGGACGCGAAAGCAAUUUUGGUUCCUAUGUGAUGGCAGAAUUCCUUGAACCUGUCUGAAUCAAACUGCUUUCCGUUGUCAACUGUGAGAAGUCUUGGAACUCCGAAUCUACAGACUAUGUUCUGCCAGAAAAAUUUCCUGAUCGUUUCAGAGGUUAUGGUUGCCAGUGGCUUAGCUUCGAUCCAUCUUGUGAAGUAUUCGAUGGCCACGACGGCAAACUUGUUUCCCCCCUGUGCAGUUGGCAUCGGUCCUACCAGGUCCAUUCCCCAUCUCUGCAACGGCCAUGAUGCUGAUAUAAGCUGAGUUGGUGCUGAAGGUCCUGACUGAAUUGGUGAGAAGGUUUGGCAGGCUUUGCAUGUCUUCACUAUUUCUUCAGCAUCUUUGAUGUGAGUUGGCCAGUAGAAGCCUUGUCUUAAUGCUUUAGCAGACAAUGCGCGAGGUCCAAUGUGAGACCCGCACAUUCCAGAGUGUAUCUCUUGCAGGAGCUCUCUGCCCUCGCUUUGUGAUAUGCAUCUCAGCAAAGGUUGGACUACGGCUUUCUUGUACAGGAUCCCGUCAAUGGUGGUGUAAUUCCUUGCUCUUGCCUCCAUCCUCUUGGCUAUUGCUUCGUCAUCUGCAGCUGUCUUGCCUUUGAGGCAAUCAGCUAUUGCCUGCCUCCAAUCUUCGCUUUCUGUCAGCAGGACUGAGCGAAAAGCUUUUGGCAACGAUUCGGUUGCGGGUGUUGCAAUAAUCUGGUGGAAGGUUCCUUCUGGCAAGGGGGCGUUGUUGGCUGCUGCUUUCGCUAGCUCGUCUGCCUCGUAGUUCUCGGCUCUUGGAAUGUACUGCAGAGUGAAUCCCUUGAACCUUCUCUCCAGGCCUCUUACGACGGCCAGAUAUCUUGCCAGCUCCGGGUUGUGUGCUAGGUAUUCCUUCUCCACUUGCCCUGCCACCACCUGGGAGUCUGUUUUGAUGAGUAGGGUUUUUGCUCCCGAAGCCUUAGCUUUGUUCAGCCCGAGGAUGAGACCUUCAUACUCAGCUAUGUUGUUUGUUGCUUUGAAUUCGAGUCGUACAACAAACUUUAGUUUGAGUCCAGAUGGUGCGAUUAGAACGGCUGCUGCUCCUGCUCCUGCUUGACCCCAGGCACCAUCUGUAUACAACGUCCACGGUUGAUCGACUACCUUCUCCUCCUCUUUGUUCGAAGGUGUCCAAUCUGCCAUGAAGUCAGCCAGGGCUUGAGAUUUGAUGGAGGUUCUGGGGACAUAGGUGAUGUCAAACUGUGACAGUUCGGCCGCCCAUUUUCCUAUACGUCCGGAAGCCUCUUUGUUCCUAAGGAUAUCACCCAAUGGCUGCGAAGUGGGUACUUUAAUCUCAUGGCUUUGGAAGUAAUGCUUGAGCUUACUUGAUGCACACAAGACCGCGUACGCGAUUUUUUCUAUCUCCGUGUAGUUCAACUUUGCUCCUGACAGAGCUUCGGAUACGUAGUAAACGGGCCUUUGCACCGUUCCCUUGCUGUCGCUUGUCUCGUGCACCAGGACACCACUGACAGCGUGCUCGGAGGCAGCCACAUACAGUAGUAGUGGGGUGUCUGGCUCAAGCACUGUUACCACCAGGUUGGUUGCAAUGUAAUUCUUGAGCUGCCUGAAGGCCUCUGAUUGUUCCGGACCCCAUUCUGUUUUACCUUCUCCUCUCAGCACUUUGAAGAAUGGAAGGCUCCGUUCUGCGGAUCUUGAAAUGAAUCUGUUGAGGGCUGCUAUUCGGCCAGUCAGCCUUUGCACUUCUUUCUUGCUUGAAGGUUCCGCCAUUGACAUGAUUGCCUUUGUCUUGUUUGGGUUUGCUUUGAUUCCUUCAGGACUGAUAAUAUAUCCCAGCAUUUUCCCUUUGCUGACCCCGAAUACGCAUUUCUCCGGGUUGAGUUUCAGCCCGGCGGUUCUGAGGUUGACAAAGGUUUCCUGUAGGUCCUUGAUAUGAUCUUCUUUGCGCUUGCUCAUGACGACAACGUCGUCAACGUAGGCUAGUAGAGCGCAAGGCUCUUAACCUUGUGGUCGUGGGUUCGAGCCCCACGGUGGGCGCCAAUGUUGGGGAGAGGCUCUCCGCACUCCCCAGCAGUACGGUGAAUCGUGAACCUUCUCACUCGGUGCCGUGAGAGGUUUGAGCUCCAACGGACAGUAGGCUCGACAGUAGGUGAAAAUAGUGAAUGCUCUCUCCCUCUUUUAUUAAUGUCGGCGUGCUCCUUUUAUAGGGCUCGGAAACCGACCUAAGACAGUUACAGAUAUGCCCCGUGACGGUGGGGGAAUAUUCCAGCAUAUUCGUACAUCACAGUCUGCUGAUCCUAAGUUACUUGCGUAAUUUCACACUACAGGCUCUCCACGCGCUCCUCGUCCGGGGCUUCAGACUGUCGAACGCUCGUAUCCUUCGCCCGGCAGUCGAUCCUUCGACUCUUCCGCGUCGAAGGUUCCCUGAGCCGGCUGAGUCGGAGGUUGCUCGGGUUGGCCACCUCGGAGGCCGCUCGGCUCAGAUGCGCCGGAGGUUUAUCUCCUCCGCCGCAUCUCCCGAACAUCCUUCGCCAUAGGAAAGCUCGAAGGUUCCCCCCUUCUUCGCCCGCAGAUCUCCGCCGGUGCUCCAGUCCCUGCAUAUGCUCAACAUAGCGAGAGUCAUGUCAACGUUAGCCUUUCUCAGGGUCCUCCGCAUGCAUCUGCACGGAGGUUUCCUGGGUGGAGGAUAGCCUUAGACGCUACCAGGUCGGAGGUUACUCGGGUGAAGGAUAACCUCAGACGCUACCAGGGUGAAGGAUGCGGCCAUUUCCCAACAAUAUCAAUACUCCCUAAUCAUGAGUUUCAUAAGUUGUUUUUAAAUAGAUUUACAUAUUUUAACUAAAACAUUAUUAUGUCAUAUCAGUAUUGGUAAUUUAACUUUUACAACUCUAUAAUAUAUAAAAUAAUACUACACACAUGUAAUUUGUGAUCUAACAAUAAAAAAGUUCGGUGCUAGGAUGCAAUAUGAGUUUCAACUUAAUUAACAUGCAGAAAACAAUAAUACUAAGACCUAAACUUUUUAAGAAAAAUAACUUUAGAAUAAAAAAUAAAAACACACACACUAGAGUUUCUACUUAAAUACUCCCUCCGUCUCAAAGACCGACGUCAAUGUCUCGUGGAGCAGGAUGGAGCAGAGCAGCGCCCACUGCAACGGGCGGAGGAAGUCGGCGAGCAGCAGAUAGAGGCCGUAGAGCACGAGAGCGCGGUGGCGAGGCCCGCGUGCGCCAUGGUGAUGUAGAGGGAGAGGAAGGGGUGGUGGAUUUGGGGGGUUUCCGAUCGCGCGUGGGAGUUGCGGUCACGUGUUUGCCAAGUCGCAGAUGGACUUGCAUAAAUGCCAAGUCUUCCCUGGAAUUUGCCAAGUUUCUAAAAAUGCAAAACCAAUAUGCAAAACUGUUGGAGAGGUGUUUUUGUGAAUUUUGGCAAAAAUCAAGAAUACAAAAACAAUAUGCAAAACUAUUCGAGAUGUUAGGUAACGAGAACGGCUCCAGUACUCCUCUUUUUAAAACUUACACGGAUCCCAAAGUAGUAUAUUGAAUUAACUAAUACCAUUUUCUUAAUUACUUUUCACCUAUGUUACGGACGGCCCAGGCCUGUCCGAACCCAGCCCAUGUCCAGGCCGCAGCCACAUUCGCAUUCGCAUUACCCGGCGCUGGCAACGAGGUUGAUCGCUGGUCCGCUGCCGUGUGUAAUUGAUCGAAUAAUCUCGCUGCAAUCUACUAAUCUUCCUACUACGAUUCUAUAUAUCCUGCAUUCGUAAACACUACUAGUACACUGCUGCUCGAGACUAGUCAAGGCAAAGUUUAGAUGCCACACGCCCAGACCUGUUGCGAGCCAAAGCAUUUGGAUGACGCCGAGACGGCACCGCUCCUCAUGUGCACGUGAAACAACCGCGGCGGCAGACGUACAACGCAGCAACGCCCAGCUCUCACAAUGGCGUGAAGCGGAGAAUGGGGGUUCGAUCCGCGGGGUGGAAAUGGUCAUCACCCGUCGUCUCCUUCAUCAGCGAGGAAAUGAAACGAGUGGGGCAUCUGGGAGCGAUUACUUUGGAUUUGGAUCAGGGCCAAACUCCCGCUAGGUUUAAACGGGCCAAACCCAGGAGAGAAAAAUAAUUAAGAAAAAGAUAAUUGGCUAAUAGAUGGCUUUGAGAUUCAUGUAAUUUUUUUAAAAAGAUAAGUAUCGGAGCAAAAGCCCUAUCUAACUAGUAUUCAUGUGGAAAAGGACUGACAUGCUUCUUCCUCAAGCUGUCGUCCACGGUCCACACCCCUCUAGAUCAAGGUUUUUUUUGGUAGGAAAAUUUUUUCGGCACCUGCCGAUAAAUAUGAAAUUUCAGAAAUUUUGGAUGAAAUUUAAAUAAAUUCAAAUUGAUCUUCAAAAAAAUUGGCACCAUUUUACUAGAAAAACUUUCUAAUAUAUCACUCAUCAUAAAUUUAUAUAAUAUCAACAAAAUAACACAAUAUAUCAUUGCGGUAGUACAGUAGGCUGACGGUGGGCAAGCUGCAUAUGCUAGCGUGUCACGAAAUAUGUGAGUGAAAAAAUUAAAUAAUUUUAAGAAAUUUAGGGCUUUGAUAAGACCAGAAGAUAUGAUGGGUCAUUUUAUUGUUGUUUGGAGUAAUUUUGAAAUGAAACAUUAAUUUAACCGAAAAAUUUGACGAUAUAAUUUUUUUUCAAACCUCACCGAAAAAUACGAAAUUUCAAAAAUUUUGGCAAAAUUUCGUCGAAAAAGAAAACCCUGCUCUAGGGCCUUGUUUAGUUCCUCAAAAAUUUUGCAAAAUUUGUUAGAUUCUCCGUCACAUCGAAUCUUUAGACUUAUGCAUAGAGUAUUAAAUAUAGAUGAAAAUAAAAACUAAUUGCACAGUUUGGUCGGAAUGGACGAAAGAACGAAUCUUUUGAAUCUAGUUAGUCCAUAAUUGGAAAAUAUUUGUCAAAUAGAAACGAAAGUGUUACUAUUCCUAUUUUGCAAAAAUUUUUUGGAAGUAAACAAGGCCUAGAUUCGAUCAUACGUACUUGCACACGUAAGUCACUAGUUUCUUUCAGUGCAAACCCGUCACUCUCUAGACAAGAAACAAAGCAUAUAUAGGGACGAAUGUUUCCUCUCUUAGUCAACAUCUUUACUUUUCACACCCCACGAUUAUAUGGUAAAACCUGGUUGGCCUUGUUGACGAAUCUGCGCCACAGGACACUUUGACACAUUGCAACCAGCAAUUUGUAGCUAGCUUCGGGCCGGUGUUUGUUGUGGUGCAUCUUAUUGCACACAAGUCAACCGUACGUGCCCGCCAAGAAAACAAUACGAUGCCUACCGGCUACUACUUAUAUAACGCGCCCCCGCUCUCUCACGAAGCACACACUGCACAACUGUGGCCUUGUGGUUGUCACACAGCAAAUAACUCGAAAGGAAAUAAACGAUGGACGGCGACGUUGUAGCAGCUGCAGCAGCUUUGCCAUCACCGUGGAGCUUGCUCCAGGGGCUCCUUGCCCUGCUGAUCGCGUGGGGCAGCUACCAGGCCGCGGAGACAUUCUGGCUGCGGCCCCGGCGGCUCAACCGGGCGCUCCGGGCACAGGGGCUCAGCGGCACUGAGUACCUCUUCCCAGCCGGCGACCUCAAGGAGAAUAACAGGCUCAACGACGAGGCACGAUCGAGGUGUAUGCCGUUGUCCCAUGACAUAGUUCCCCGUGUGAUGCCGCAUCUCUUCAACACAGUUAAGGAGCACGGUAUGUCGAAAGUAAUUAAACACACGUUCCUUUCUUUCUUCUUGCCCACGCUGUCCUCUCCCUCUCUCGCUAAACUCACUCGCGUUGCGCACUCCUCUACCUUACAUACCCACCUCUUACCCCACCCUUGCAUUGCGCAAACCCAUCUUUCCCUAAACCUAGGUUGCAAGCGACCACUCUACAGAUAGGUCUAGGCAUUAGGUAUUACCGAACCAUGGUUUGGUACUUCAGUUCCCACACAAAUUCGGUUCCUCAAAAAAUAGGCAUUGGUCAGUUUAUUCCAAAAUUUGGUACACAAUAAAAUUGGUUUUGGUAUUUUUGGUUUGGUUUCAGUAUUUAUUGAAAACUACCGAACUGAACACAGAGACUCGUAAUAGCAGGUAUAAAAGCUAAAUUUGCAAGAAUUUCAAAGAGAAUAAUAGUGCAAAAUACAUACACAUAAAAGUUCAUAAGACUAUAAGAGUAGAGUACUACAAAUACAUAAUAUAAUAGUCUUUAAUAAUACAAUCAAUAAUUUAACAAUAUUCAAACUCAGCAUAUUUCGCGUAGUUUGGCCAGUCCAGGCAUGACUUGAUUCGGACUGUUUUGGACUUGUAUCACCCCCUCUAGAUUUGAUUUGUCACCAUCUUCACGUUUAAGUAAACAAAUUCACAUAGUCCUUUGUAAUACUCAUUCCCUAAAUUUGUCCAUUCCAAUAAACUGGAAAAUUACCUAAGUUUUAAAGAUUUUUUUUGAGAAUACUAAGUUUUAAAGAUUGAAUUGAAAGUUUUGUAGACUUAACGGCACAUAUGCAAACGUUGAACUGCAGGCAACAUUUCUAUCACCUGGGUCGGACCAAUUCCUAAGGUGAUAAUCACGGAGGCAGAGUUAAUAAGGGACGUCCUAUUAAACAAGUCUGGCCACUUCAAGAAGGUCAUCACGAACAAGCGUCUUAUAAAAAUGCUCGCCCUUGGGAUUGCGAGUCACGACGGUGAGAAAUGGGCAAAACACAGAAGGAUCCUAAAACCCGCAUUCCAUCAAGAAAAGCUCAAGGUUCUCUGACUUCCUUCACACAAGAAAUCAGCCUUAGUUACAAUAUGCACAGCCUCAAGCAUAUAGAUAUGUGUGCUUACUAAAUUUAUUUUUUAGCGCAUGCUGCCGGCGUUCUCGACGUGCUCUACCGAGCUUAUAGAUCGCUGGGAGAAAAAACUCGCUGGUUCUGACGGAUCAUAUGAACUGGAUAUCUGGCCGGAGUUUCAGAACCUCACCGGAGACGUGAUCUCCCGAACGGCAUUUGGCAGCAGCUUCAUGGAAGGGCGAAGGAUCUUCCAACUUCAGGGCGAGCAAGCAGAGCGGCUAUUCAAGGCCUUCCAGUAUAUGUACAUUCCAGGCUUCAUGUAAGAACUUUCUGAUCUGUCACAUGGUACAGUAAUUCUAGUACAUAUAUUAAAGGUCAUCACAUUCAUAUGUGUGUGCUCAUGCCGUUAUAUAUAUGCAGCUUCUUCCCGACACAGAACAAUCGGAGGAUGAAAGAAAUCAACAGGGAAAUUGAAGGGACUCUAAGGGGCAUGAUCGAGAAGAGGGAGCGCGCAAUCGAGAAUGGCGAAACCAGCGGCAACGACUUGCUCGGCUUGCUGCUGCAGUCAAACAUGGAAAGCGGGAAAGGCAACCUGAGGAUGAGCACCGAGGACAUGAUUGAGGAGUGCAAGCUCUUCU